UAUUGAUUAUGUGUCAUGUUGUAACGUAAGGUUGAAAGAGAGACGAUAAUAUCAUUAAGAUUAUCAUAAUAAUGAAUGAACUGGUCGGCGAAAUUUGGUCUACGCAAAGACGUGAUUUCAACGCAUUUAAGACUUUUCUUAAAACGUCAUGAAUAUGGAAAUACAGAGUGUGUCGUUAACAACAUGCUUUAAGGACAAAAUAAUGCGGAGCCGUUUCAAACAUUAGUUGAAAACACGUAACUCUGAUCACAUCUGUAACGCGCAUGCGCAAGUUCUUAGACGCUUGCACCGGGGCCAGAGCGACGUGAACGGGCUGAUACAACCACGGCUACCGGCCCCAAUACUCUGUUCCUGUGGAUGGAGGUUACAUCUGAUGGAGUUUGGCCCUGCAGUUGUCCUGCCUUACACCUGGUCUACUCCUCCACUGCUCUCCCUUAGGUUUUGUCCAGUUGAAGGUGGUCUUGUCCAGCACCGUGAGUGUAG